GUUUACAGGCAGCGGCUGUAAAGGUCUUUGUUGCUGUGGCUGCCAUGUUAAUGACCCAGCUUGGGGCGCUGCCGCCGCCGCCGUCGGCCGCUUCUUCCAAAGAAAACAAAUCAAAAGCCUUCAUUCCGUUCCUGAGGAAGAAACUGUAUCCUGAAGGAUUCCCCCAAAGCUGGACAAUUAGGUGGAUGAAAGCCAACAACUGAAAGCAGAGAUUAUCAAAAUGAAUGAAAGAAAGAGACGGAGCUCCAAAUAUACAAAUAAAAACAAAAGGAUCACAUGAAUGCA
ensembl:lncRNA